UAAUUAAGGAUAUUAAUAAUAAUGUUUUUGUAUGGAACAUUUUAUGCAACAUUCCCAAACACCUAUCCAGAAUUAAAUGAGUGCAUAAGCAUCCCUUGUGAGACAGGGUUUUUUUUUUUUUUUUUUCUUGCAUGUUUGUUUUUCUCAAAAGCAGUCAGGCUAAAAGCCAUAUCUGAGGAUUUGGAAACAACAUGAAACCCAGUAGCCCAGUUGUUGGUAGAGAAACGCUUGUCCUGAUAUGUGGCAGGAAUGUUAGUUAGACAAAGAUUUGACCUGGAAGUGGUCUUUUCACAGUCAGUCUGAGCCUCCUGGGAUAUACCACUUUGGGCAUUUGAAAUAAUUUAAAGACAUUUUAUUCUUUCUGAUUUGAGGAUCUAUUUAUAUACAUCUCUUUGAAUUGGAUCCAUGUUGCAGUGAACAUGAAAUCUUAAUGAUUUUUUGUUGUUUUGAAAAAAAUAGUCAACUUCUCACCCCCUACACCCCAAAAGCUAACUCUAAUUCAAUAAAUCAGAAAGUUACUACUAAAAACACCAGUUGCUAAAGUGGACUUAAAGGAAGAAACAGGAAAUGGACGUUAGGCUGUUCUCAUGAAAUAGUUCAUCCUAGUUACCUUAUAAGAUUAAUUUUGUCCAUAGCUAAAGUAAUCUGGAAAUUAUUAUUUAGUGGACAUGAACCCACAUUCUUUGGACUAGCAUUAGCCACUACUGUUCUGUAUGGUUGAGGGGCUAAGGGUUGUGAGGGGAGACAUUAGUCACAAAUUUCUUAUACAAUCAUCCUCUUUGUGUUCUAGCUCUUCAUUCAGUCAUUCUUUUAGCAAAUAUUUACUGAGUGCCGUCUCUGUGCCUGGAAUGAUUCUAGGUGCUAAGAAUGUAGCAGGGACUAAUCAAAUAAAAAUCGCUUCCCUGAUAGAAGUUAUGUUCUAAAGAUAAUGGUGGCUUCCCCAAUACAUCUGUGAUAACUGCUCUUCCACGCAGUGUUCACUAGCAUUUUUUUAAUAAAGACAUUAACUAUAUAUCUGUAUCUAUAUUUUGUAACCAGGAAAUAAAGCAUGUCCUUAGGGUUCUCCAGCAGUUUCAGGGAUGACUGGAAACUGGGUGUGAAUAGCAGCCUGAAAGCCUGUCCCAGGGUGCCAGUACUUUUUCCUGGCUGGGUAAAGAAGUUAUCUUUUCUCGGGCAAUAGCAAUUUCUUGGUUGCUGUAGUUUAGUUCCUGCUACAGAUAAGAGACAGAUGGUCAUAUUUUUAAGGAUACACAAAUAGCUUAAAAUGUAAAAUAAUUGAAAGAUAAAUAAUAGCUAUUUCAGAGUCCCC
rnacentral:lncRNA from 1 species